rnacentral:rRNA from 1 species
GUGGCAUUGUGCGCUCCCCAUUUUUGCGUGGCGUGGCGCGAGGGUGCGCUCCCGCGUGGCGUGGUGUGCUCGCUUUAUCAAGCUCGCUCGCUCGGCCGGACGUAGAGGAGGGAGGCGGGCUCGGUAGCAGAGGGAGUGGUGUGCGUGUGGGUUAGGGGAGGGGAGGUUGGGAUCGGCGGGGCGAGGGGAGGGAGAGGUGCCGCGGCGGCGGAGGAGGGGAAGACGGGACGAGAGGUGGCACGGCGGAGAAGGAGGAGAAGUGACGGGAGAGAUCGCCGCCGUUUCUAGAUGGCUGUUUUCCCUCUGCUGCCGCUGCGAGCUAGGCUAGACGACUUCUCUUUUCUACUCUCCCUCUCUCUGUUCCUUCCUCUCCUCCCUCUUUCUAUCUCCUUUCUCCUCUCGCUCCACACUACCGUCUACUCUCUCCCAGUGGCCUUCCUCGCACUGCUGGACGUCUGUUUCCCGCCGCCGCCGCGGCGAGCUAAACUAGACGCCCUCUCUCUUAUACUCUCCCUCUCUCUCUUCCUUCUUGUACUCUCCUCCCUCUUUCUCUCUCCUUUCUCCUCUCCCCCAACUGCCGGCUGUCCUCUCCUAGUGGCCUUCCUCACGGCGGCCGAGCAGCAGAAAGUGUGGCCCACUUCCUCGUCCCCUCCGCCCGUUGUUCCUACCCUUCGUAGCCCGGCAGUACCACGCCACCUCUACGACCCUUCUUCCUCCUCCCGCAGACGUAGUAGGGGUCCCCACGAGCACCUCGACGAGCAGUUACUCUAGGUGGUACCUCGUUCGGCAGCACCGUCGUGUAGGGGCGGGGGAGACUCCGUUAUCUAGUUCGUGUGGUAGUUUGACUCCUCGAAGUCAUUCCAACGAGUGGUUACUCGGCCUUCACAAAAACAGGACCCAUGAACGUACUAACUUCUACUUUAACCCAUAAGGUUUUACACGAUAACGUCUAGUUUCACCCGUACUGCCGCCGCUACGAUCGCAUACGUAGCCCGCACCCGACGAAGUCGAAAUCCUCUCUAAGCUGCUACCGCGUUCCCGGGGCAAACGAACGACGCCGCAGUGGUCGGGAAGACGUCUCGAUGUACAUAUUACGAUGAGGUUCUAAAAUUACCGUACUUCUACGCCAAUAGGCUCUUCUACGUCAAGACUUUAAAGAGUGAACUAGAUAAUAACGUUCUUGACCACUAGAUGCACAAUAUAUGAAUAAGCCACGGAUGACAGAAGAUGGACACAAAAACGGGGAAGUUACGACCACGGACCUGAUACUCGAAACGGAAAACUGUAAAAGAAAAGGAGACGACGAUCGGUUCUACGCCUCGCCACCAGCUGCCGCCGCCGGACGUCGAGGGUUCAACGUCCACUCUUUUAUUACACCGCCAACAACCAAACGUAUUUAUGACUAGCUCCGUAACACUCUUAUAAAACACUCCAUAGGACUAACCGUAUAGGAUUACACCGCCAACAACCAAACGUAUUUAUGACUUAUCCCUUUGAAGACAGUAAAAGAAACCAGAGCCUUUUUAUUUACCACUAUACCUGACUAUGUGACGAUUUAAUGUACUAUGUUUGAGUGAAGAGAAAAAACUAAAAACCAAAUGAAGCAACGCGAUGUUACCGAGAGGAUCCUUACAAGAAGGUACGAAACUACACGUGUUAGGUCUUUCACGUACGUAGGUCUUUGGUUUAUCCUAAAAAAUACACAAUAGAAGAGUAUUUAGAACACGAGCAGGUUAUUCUUAUUCCAAACCACCAUAACGAAAACAGACAGUGGGCCAUCUAAAGUCUGAAGUUCGAUCGACGUCAAUAAAGUCCAAUAUACACGUUUAGGAACCACACUGUACUAACCAUUGACUGGUACUUAUGGAACGUUAGACUAUACAGAUUAAGAACUAAAUACACUAUGGUACCAGAUUUUUAACCAGGAUUUCUAUGUACUACAAAAAUAUGUUUCAACUCUGUCAAUAAAAACUUACCUCCCUCAUAAUCUAAUAAAACAAGGAAAAAUUAAACCAAGAUUUCUAUAUCAAAGUCUCACUAGUAAAACGUAGUCAGUUCGAACGGCAACAAUGUUUAUUAACAAGACAACAGGAGUUAAGUGAAAGAGCCAAAAAAUUACGAUGUUCGCAAUAACAAGGACAAAAAAAUCAAUAACUAGUACGGUAAAAAGAAAGACGGAAACAUCGACUUUCUAAUCACUCUGACUGAUUUAAGACUUGUACAAGGUACACUCUCUUGAUCGUACAACUAAAGUAGAACUUUAUUAGUAUCGACCCCCUGCUCCAAACAUUGACUCCCAGUACACGUCUCGGCCUCCUUCUUCAACGCUCCGAACCUUGAGAGGAACACUUCCCGAGUCCCUGUUCUCACUCCUGAUACGGAGAAAUCAACAUUAACACCAUGAGGACUACACGUUCAUUUGUGAGUACACUAUGAGGAAUACGAUUUUACAACCAACAAGCAUGUCUCCACCACUGUAAUAAACCAAGAGACCAUAACUAAAGUACUAAACACCAAUUAUAUACUGCAUUAUGUUAGG